rnacentral:rRNA from 1 species
AGCUCCAAUAGCGUAUAUUAAAGUUGUUGCAGUUAAAAAGCUCGUAGUUGGAUCUCGGGUCCAGGCUGGCGGUCCGUUUCGCGACGGUACUGCUCGUCCUGACCUACCUCCCAGCUCUUCUCCUAGUGCUCUUCGCUGAGUGCUUCGAGUGGCUGGAACGUUUACUUUGAAAAAAUUAGAGUGCUCAAAGCAGGCAGUCUGCCUGAAUAACCGCGCAUGGAAUAAUGGAAUAGGACCUCGGUUCUAUUU